UGCAGGUGUUGGCGUUGGAGCGUAUUACUGACCUCAGCCUGCAGGCGGCGACAGAGCUGUGCAAGGCCGGACUGAAGAGUCUGGAAACUCUGAUCCUGACACACACCUGUGAGCGGCCAGGCCAUCCUGCACUUCCACAGCGUGUGCAGGAACAUCACGUCUAUCAAUGUCGAGGUCUCUGCGUCAGAUUACUUUGAAGAACCGCACACUCCGGAAGCUCAACGUCUGUUUGAAGAGAUUGUCACCACGCUGAAGGUUCUUCAGAAGCGUCCUGGACUGUGUGACGUCUUACAGGUCAAAGCUGAAGGAUUCUGCUGACCUCAGCGCACACACAUCUGUUUGUACCUUCAUUUGCAUCCUGCACUUCAUGACCCCUGACCUGAACCUGACCUUUAACCCUAAAGCCAACAUCCUGAACAUCCUGCUGGAGAGACGUCCAGAAGACCUCAGCCAUGUGGAGGUUUAUCAGAGCUCAUCAGGACAUGAUGGAACAACGAGCUCCAUAAUCCUCACACACUUCAACAGGAGCUAAAACAGUUGAUGAAGCAAUUCAUUCAAACUACAAACUGUAAAUAAAUGUAGAGUGUGUCUGACAGACAUUAUUACUGACACUG